rnacentral:rRNA from 1 species
UGGGGAAUAUUGCACAAUGGAGGGAACUCUGAUGCAGCGACGCCGCGUGAACGAAGAAGGCUUUCGAGUCGUAAAGUUCUUUUAUAUGGGAAGAUAAUGACGGUACCAUAAGAAAAAGCCCCGGCUAACUACGUGCCAGCAGCCGCGGUAAUACGUAGGGGGCAAGCGUUGUCCGGAAUUACUGGGCGUAAAGAGUUCGUAGGCGGUUUGUCGCGUCGUUUGUGAAAACCAGCAGCUCAACUGCUGGCUUGCAGGCGAUACGGGCAGACUUGAGUACUGCAGGGGGGACUGGAAUUCCUGGUGUAGCGGUGAAAUGCGCAGAUAUCAGGAGGAACGCCGGUGGCGAGGGCGGGUCUCUGGGCAGUAACUGACGCUGAGGAACGAAAGCGUGGGUAGCGAACAAG